AUGUAAGUUUAAGGCGGCCAGGGGUCGCCUCUCCAUGCGCGGGGCCCUCCAAGCUUGUAAGGACCCGGUGGUUUGAGAUUCAGAGCCCAGCCCAGCCUUCUUCUGAUCAUCCCUCUGAACUCACUCCUGUGGGCCUCUCUCUGCCGCACUCUCCCCGCUCCCCGCUUGUCCCGCAGGGUCAGUGGAAGGGCGUAGUCCCUGCCAACACGUCCAGCUCUGCCUGGGGUGGUUCUCUGAGCCCCCAGCCCUCCCAAAGCCGGCUAGGCUGAAGGACGUUUUGAGUGACUCCCUGCCAAAGUGUUUCCCAGCCACCAUCAGUCUGCCUCCUGAGCGGAGACGUUGGCUCUGGCCUUCCUCUCCCUCGAGGCGAGCUCCCAGCUGCCUAGGACCACCCCACCCCCCGCCCCCAUGCGGAAGCAAGAGUUUCUCUCCUCCUUGUUCUGAAGUCUCAGCCCUACUCAAUCAACCCUUCCCACCGCCGCUUCUCAGUAAAGCCCUCAUUCAGACAAGACGCCCAAUGACAGGGUUCCCUGGUGGCUCAUCUGGUUAGGGACCCAGUGUUGUCCCUGCUGUGGUUCAGGUCGAUGCUGUGGCACAAGUUCAGUCCCUGUCCCAGGAACUUCCAUAUGCGGCAAGCGGGGCCCUGGUUCCAUCCCUGGCCUGAAGCAGCGAGUUAAGCAUCUGGCUUUGCUGCAGCUGUGGUGUGAGUUGCAGCCCUGGCUCGGAUUCCGUCCUUGGCCUGGGAACUUCCAUAUGCAGCAGGUGUGGCCGAGAAAGAAGAGAGAAAGAGAGAGAGAGAGAGAGAGAGAGAGAAAGAGAGGGGUGGGGAGAGAGGGAGGGGAAAGACAAACAAAGAGAAGCGGGUUAUAAAAUGUCAUCAAACCCGUGGUUAUAAAUGCAACGCGCACAGGGCAUUACAAGACACUCUGCUGCCAUUUACUGCGUGCCUACGCCUAAGGCCCUGAGACAUGCGGGGCGCCGUAUAAUUAAAUCCUCAUGAGUAUCUUGCAAAUCAGCGAUUUUGACACUGAAGUGUGGGGGCGUUAAGGGCCCUCUCUAAGGUCCCGGGGGCUCCUUGACCUCAUGGCCCUAACCAGGCUUUGCUCCUCACCAGGGAGGACCCACGGCCCUGUAGCCUGGCGGGUUCCUCCCUGCCCCUUUCUCUCUCUCUCUUUUUUUGUCUUUUGUCUUUUUAUGUUCGCACCCGAGGUGUAUGGAGGUUCCCAGGCUAGGGGUCAAAUCGGAGCUGCAGCUGCCGGCCUACACCACAGCCACAGCAACGCAGGAUCCAGGCCGCAUCUGCGUGCCACCCACACCCCAGCUCAUGGCAACGCCAGAUCCUCAACACACAGGGUGAGGCCAGGGAUCGAACCCACUUCCUCAUGGAUCCUAGUCGGGUUCCUCCUCCUCCGCAUCUCCGCUUAAACGUCACCUCGGGGGCAAGGCCCUCCGUGACCCCUCACCUCGUCCCUCUCUGCUCCUUUGUUCCUAAGGAGUCUUCUUGGCCACACGACUAGGAGUUUGUUCAAUGCCGUCUCCCUCGCUGAGGCCCUUUCAGCGACUGCAAAUGUGGCAAACGAGUGACAGCUGUGCUCAAGGCCACUGGGUCACAGAGGCCCUGACUCCUGGGCCCAAAGGGUCUCUCUGAGCUUUCCUCAUCUUGUCCUGUCCUGUGCCCGUGUCAUAGGAAAGGGGAAACUGAGGCCAGAGAAGCAAGGCCCUUGUCGGGCCCCGCAGGGGUUAGAUGCACGGCUAGGGCAGAGCAGUGGCAGGUUCCAGGCUACCGGCCAGACACCAGUGGGUGGCCCCGACUGGCCCCAGUUCAUGUCUGUGUAGGGUAGGAUGAGGCAGGACGGCCCUGAAACGUGGCAGGCGGGAGGGCUGCCUAGGACGACGUGGCUGGCCCGGGGAGAGUGGAGAGGCUGCGGCCUGGCUGGCAAAGAGUUUCCUCCCAGCCCAGGCAAGUAAGCCCAUCCCCGGCUAUGCACGCCUCCCCCAGCUCCUGCCGCCCCAGUGGCUGCCAGGCCCUCAGGUCCCUGGCCAGUGGCCUGCUGCUUACAGAGGCGAGGGCCCAGGGAAGGUGCCUGGCUCCCUGGGUCGGAGCAGUGGGGGAGGGGCUGGUACCUUUACCAAGCUGCCUCCUGUCCCAGCACACAAAGGCAGAAAGGAUAGCCUAUCCCACUCCCGCCCUAGUCCUGGGCUGGGCCGUGCGGAAGCCCAGAGGCGGCUGAGUCACAGCUCCCGGCCUGGCCGAGCCUCUCUGAGGGUGAGCCUCUGGUCUCCACCAGCCAGGACGGUGGGGAGGGCACGGGGGACCCCCGACAGGAAGGAACAGCCUGUAGGGCACAUACCUGGUCCUGCCGCCCCACCGACAGGGCC
rnacentral:lncRNA from 1 species